rnacentral:misc_RNA from 1 species
AUAGUGUUUGGAAAGAUAAAGUCAACUAGUGUAUUUGUAUGUAUUAAACAACAUUACAAUAGAAUGUACAUCGUAAAUACCAGUUGAAUAUUCGCGUUCGUCAAUCUCUUUAUAUUUUGAAGAUUUUCUAUCUAAAGUUAGUGUGAAUACAAGAAAAUAUGUACAACUUUUUGUACUUAAUUUACAACGUGUAAAGGGGUUAGUGCUAAGGCGGACUGCGCCUUAAAUUUCAAUGAAUGAACACGUCUUAACAAUUAAUAUCCAGCGACAGGGGUACUAUAAAGCUUUCAAUAUUUUCGCUUAACAUCAACAAGUGUUUUUGGCUUCACACGAAUAACAUCAGGCGAAAACCAAACAGGUUUUCAAAUAGGUAGCAGUUAUCAAAAUUUUGUUCGUCUACUAACAGUUACAGUUAUUAAAGAAAUUUGUUUUUCAUUCUGAAGUCAUGAAGUUUUUCUCGCUACUUCUUUGUAUUAUUGUAAUGGUGUGGUGCUGUCAAAAAACGAGCGCUGAUAGUGCCCAAAGUAUUAGCAUUGCGACUGAUGGUUUAACCGAGGAAAGAAUGAAAAAUAUCAAAGGCGUUUAUUGUGGUUCGAGGCUGUCUGGCACAAUUUCUAUGAUUUGCAACUACGGCGGCAGAAUUAAAAGAACUAAUGGGGGAGGAUAUGAUGGAAAUGGUUUUUCAAACAGUUUGGAAAAUGCACGAAUUUUCGAUACUAAAUCUGUACGGCUCCCUUUGUUGCCGAAGGAAUUAGCUCAUUUAAUGUUCCCCAAAAAAUAUGAGAAACGAAUUCCCGGUGCACAGUUCCAAACUAGGAUCCGUGCGGUUGACGAGUGUUGCAAAAAAUCAUGUAGUUUGUGGGAACUGAGUUCUUACUGCGACUGAAACUGGAGUGUAUCUGAUGGGACUUUUCCUAUACGAAGAGAAUAUUGUCAAAAAGAUCUGGGCUACUUUUUACCACAAGAUUAAUUAUUAGCUGCGAGGUUAGUGAUUAUUCAAAAUAAAAUUAAACGUUUUUUUACCACUGGCAAUAAAAUUAUUGCAUGAUAAAAGGUAUUUUCUGGUGUAUAGAUAAGAACGAAUCAAAAUCAGCAAAAAUUGACAGGGGAUUGAGAAAAUAACAUAUCUAUGAUCGUUAUUACAAA